rnacentral:rRNA from 1 species
GACGAACGCUGGCGGCGUGCCUAAUACAUGCAAGUCGAGCGGACGAAUCGAAAGCUUGCUUUUGAUUCGUUAGCGGCGGACGGGUGAGUAACACGUGGGCAACCUGCCCUGUAGACGGGGAUAACACCGAGAAAUCGGUGCUAAUACCGGAUAACACGAAAUGUCGCAUGACGUUUCGUUGAAAGACGGCGCAAGCUGUCGCUACAGGAUGGGCCCGCGGCGCAUUAGCUAGUUGGUGAGGUAACGGCUCACCAAGGCGACGAUGCGUAGCCGACCUGAGAGGGUGAUCGGCCACACUGGGACUGAGACACGGCCCAGACUCCUACGGGAGGCAGCAGUAGGGAAUCUUCCGCAAUGGACGAAAGUCUUACGGAGCAACGCCGCGUGAGCGAAGAAGGCCUUCGGGUCGUAAAGCUCUGUUGUUAGGGAAGAACAAGUAACGCAGUAACUGGCGUUACCGUGACGGUACCUAACGAGAAAGCCACGGCUAACUACGUG